CCUACGGGAGGCAGCAGUUAGGAAUCUUCCACAAUGGGCGAAAGCCUGAUGGAGCGACGCCGCGUGAGGGAUGAAGGUUUUCGGAUCGUAAACCUCUGAAUCUGGGACGAAAGGCGCGUAAGCGAGAUGACGGUACCAGAGUAAUAGCACCGGCUAACUCCGUGCCAGCAGCCGCGGUAAUACGGAGGGUGCAAGCGUUACCCGGAAUCACUGGGCGUAAAGGGCGUGUAGGCGGGAACUUAAGUCUGGUUUUAAAGACAGGGGCUCAACCCCUGGGAUGGACUGGAUACUGGGUUUCUAGACCUCUGGAGAGAGACUCGGAAUUUCUGGUGUAGCGGUGGAAUGCGUAGAUACCAGAAGGAACACCGAUGGCGAAGGCAGAGUCUUGGACAGAAGGUGACGCUGAGGCGCGAAAGUGUGGGGAGCGAACCCGGAUUAGAUACCCGGGUAGUCCACACCCUAAACGAUGUACGUUGGGAUGACCAGCAGAGUAGUCGUGUUGUUGUACGUAACGUAACGUACGUAACGUAACCGUACCGUCCGUACGGUACGGUACCGGCCGACGUAGGUUAACGUAAACGUUAAAGUAAGUACGGACGUCGUAGAGACGCGACGACGACGACGACGGAGGAGAG
rnacentral:rRNA from 1 species